rnacentral:rRNA from 1 species
UAGGGAAUCUUCCGCAAUGGACGAAAGUCUGACGGAGCAACGCCGCGUGAGUGAAGAAGGAUUUCGGUUCGUAAAACUCUGUUGUUAGGGAAGAAAAAAUGUAUAGUAACUAUAUACAAAAGAGACGGUACCUAACCAGAAAGCCACGGCUAACUACGUGCCAGCAGCCGCGGUAAUACGUAGGUGGCAAGCGUUGUCCGGAAUUAUUGGGCGUAAAGCGCGCGCAGGUGGUUUAGAAAGUCUGAUGUGAAAGCCCACGGCUCAACCGUGGAGGGUCAUUGGAAACUAAGAAACUGGAGGGCAGGAGAGAAAAGUGGAAUUCCUAGUGUAGCGGUGAAAUGCGUAGAGAUUAGGAGGAACACAGGUGGCGAAAGCGGCUUUUUGGCCUGAAACUGACACUGAGGCGCGAAAGCGUGGGGAGCAAACAGG